rnacentral:rRNA from 1 species
GAUGAACGCUGGCGGCGUGCCUAAUACAUGCAAGUCGAGCGAACAGACGAGGAGCUUGCUCCUCUGACGUUAGCGGCGGACGGGUGAGUAACACGUGGAUAACCUACCUAUAAGACUGGGAUAACUUCGGGAAACCGGAGCUAAUACCGGAUAAUAUAUUGAACCGCAUGGUUCAAUAGUGAAAGACGGUUUUGCUGUCACUUAUAGAUGGAUCCGCGCCGCAUUAGCUAGUUGGUAAGGUAACGGCUUACCAAGGCAACGAUGCGUAGCCGACCUGAGAGGGUGAUCGGCCACACUGGAACUGAGACACGGUCCAGACUCCUACGGGAGGCAGCAGUAGGGAAUCUUCCGCAAUGGGCGAAAGCUUGACGGAGCAACGCCGCGUGAGUGAUGAAGGUCUUCGGAUCGUAAAGCUCUGUUAUUAGGGAAGAACAAAUGUGUAAGUAACUAGGCACGUCUUGACGGUACCGAAUCAGAAAGCCACGGCUAACUACGUG